rnacentral:rRNA from 1 species
GACGGGUGAGUAAUGCCUAGGAAAUUGCUUGAUGUGGGGGAUAACCAUUGGAAACGAUGGCUAAUACCGCAUAACGCCUACGGGCCAAAGAGGGGGACUUCGGGCCUCUCGCGUCAAGAUAUGCCUAGGUGGGAUUAGCUAGUUGGUGAGGUAAUGGCUCACCAAGGCGACGAUCCCUAGCUGGUCUGAGAGGAUGAUCAGCCACACUGGGAACUGAGACACGGUCCAGACUCCUACGGGAGGCAGCAGUGGGGAAUAUUGCACAAUGGGCGAAAGCCUGAUGCAGCCAUGCCGCGUGUAUGAAGAAGGCCUUCGGGUUGUAAAGUACUUUCAGUUGUGAAGGAAGGGGGCUGUCCGUUAAUACCGGCAUCUCUUGACGUUAGCAACAGAAGAAGCACCGGCUAACUCCGUGCCAGCAGCCGCGGUAAUACGGAGGGUGCGAGCGUUAAUCGGAAUUACUGGGCGUAAAGCGCAUGCAGGUGGUUCAUUAAGUCAGAUGUGAAAGCCCGGGGCUCAACCUCGGAACUGCAUUUGAAACUGGUGAACUAGAGUACUGUAGAGGGGGGUAGAAUUUCAGGUGUAGCGGUGAAAUGCGUAGAGAUCUGAAGGAAUACCAGUGGCGAAGGCGGCCCCCUGGACAGAUACUGACACUCAGAUGCGAAAGCGUGGGGAGCAAACAGGAUUAGAUACCCUGGUAGUCCACGCCGUAAACGAUGUCUACUUGGAGGUUGUGGCCUUGAGCCGUGGCUUUCGGAGCUAACGCGUUAAGUAGACCGCCUGGGGAGUACGGUCGCAAGAUUAAAACUCAAAUGAAUUGACGGGGGCCCGCACAAGCGGUGGAGCAUGUGGUUUAAUUCGAUGCAACGCGAAGAACCUUACCUACUCUUGA